GCUCCCUUCGUCUAGUGGUUAGGACGAGAGAUUCUCAGUCUUUAAACAGGGGUUCGACUCCCCUAGGGAGUA
rnacentral:tRNA from 1 species